rnacentral:tRNA from 1 species
CAAGUAGUAGUUUAAUAGAAAACUUUAAGUUGCAAACUUAAAAAAGAGCUUAGCUCCUACUUUU